rnacentral:rRNA from 1 species
UACAGAGGGUGCAAGCGUUAAUCGGAAUUACUGGGCGUAAAGCGUGCGUAGGCGGUUUCGUAAGUCGGAUGUGAAAGCCCCGGGCUCAACCUGGGAAUUGCAUUCGAGACUGCGGAGCUCGAGUGCGGAAGAGGGAAGUGGAAUUUCCGGUGUAGCGGUGAAAUGCGUAGAUAUCGGAAGGAACAUCAGUGGCGAAAGCG